CACCGAAGCUGCGGCAGCGACACUGUGUGUUGUUGGGUAGGGGAGCGUUCUGUAAGCCUGCGAAGGUGGCCUGUGAGGGUUGCUGGAGGUAUCAGAAGUGCGAAUGCUGACAUAAGUAACGAUAAAGCGGGUGAAAAGCCCGCUCGCCGGAAGACCAAGGGUUCCUGUCCAACGUUAAUCGGGGCAGGGUGAGUCGACCCCUAAGGCGAGGCCGAAAGGCGUAGUCGAUGGGAAACGGGUUAAUAUUCCCGUACUUGGUGUUACUGCGAAGGGGGGACGGAGAAGGCUAUGUUGGCCGGGCGACGGUUGUCCCGGUUUAAGCGUGUAGGUGUGUGUUCCAGGUAAAUCCGGUUCACUUUAACACUGAGGCGUGACGACGAGGCACUACGGUGCUGAAGCAACAAAUGCCCUGCUUCCAGGAAAAGCCUCUAAGCAUCAGGUAACAUCAAAUCGUACCCCAAACCGACACAGGUGGUCAGGUAGAGAAUACCAAGGCGCUUGAGAGAACUCGGGUGAAGGAACUAGGCAAAAUGGUGCCGUAACUUCGGGAGAAGGCACGCUGACAUGUAGGUGAAGUGAUUUACUCAUGGAGCUGAAGUCAGUCGAAGAUACCAGCUGGCUGCAACUGUUUAUUAAAAACACAGCACUGUGCAAACACGAAAGUGGACGUAUACGGUGUGACGCCUGCCCGGUGCCGGAAGGUUAAUUGAUGGGGUCAGCGCAAGCGAAGCUCCUGAUCGAAGCCCCGGUAAACGGCGGCCGUAACUAUAACGGUCCUAAGGUAGCGAAAUUCCUUGUCGGGUAAGUUCCGACCUGCACGAAUGGCGUAAUGAUGGCCAGGCUGUCUCCACCCGAGACUCAGUGAAAUUGAACUCGCUGUGAAGAUGCAGUGUACCCGCGGCAAGACGGAAAGACCCCGUGAACCUUUACUAUAGCUUGACACUGAACAUUGAGCCUUGAUGUGUAGGAUAGGUGGGAGGCUUUGAAGUGUGGACGCCAGUCUGCAUGGAGCCGACCUUGAAAUACCACCCUUUAAUGUUUGAUGUUCUAACGUGGACCCGUAAUCCGGGUUGCGGACAGUGUCUGGUGGGUAGUUUGACUGGGGCGGUCUCCUCCUAAAGAGUAACGGAGGAGCACGAAGGUUGGCUAAUCCUGGUCGGACAUCAGGAGGUUAGUGCAAUGGCAUAAGCCAGCUUGACUGCGAGCGUGACGGCGCGAGCAGGUGCGAAAGCAGGUCAUAGUGAUCCGGUGGUUCUGAAUGGAAGGGCCAUCGCUCAACGGAUAAAAGGUACUCCGGGGAUAACAGGCUGAUACCGCCCAAGAGUUCAUAUCGACGGCGGUGUUUGGCACCUCGAUGUCGGCUCAUCACAUCCUGGGGCUGAAGUAGGUCCCAAGGGUAUGGCUGUUCGCCAUUUAAAGUGGUACGCGAGCUGGGUUUAGAACGUCGUGAGACAGUUCGGUCCCUAUCUGCCGUGGGCGCUGGAGAACUGAGGGGGGCUGCUCCUAGUACGAGAGGACCGGAGUGGACGCAUCACUGGUGUUCGGGUUGUCAUGCCAAUGGCACUGCCCGGUAGCUAAAUGCGGAAGAGAUAAGUGCUGAAAGCAUCUAAGCACGAAACUUGCCCCGAGAUGAGUUCUCCCUGAGACUUAAAGUCUCCUGAAGGAACGUUGAAGACGACGACGUUGAUAGGCCGGGUGUGUAAGCGCAGCGAUGCGUUGAGCUAACCGGUACUAAUGAACCGUGAGGCUUAACCUUACAACGCCGAAG
rnacentral:rRNA from 1 species